GGUCUCAUAGCUCAACUGGAUAGAGCAAGAGCAUCGGCUCCCGCUGCCUUCUAAGCAGUAGGUUUCAGCCGGGCCGCCGUUGCGGUUCGAGUCCUGAUGGGAUCA
rnacentral:tRNA from 1 species